CGCGCAGGCGGCUUGAUAAGUCAGUUGUGAAAGCCCGGGGCUUAACCCCGGAAGUGCAAUUGAAACUGUCAGGCUUGAGUAUGGUAGAGGGAAGUGGAAUUCCUGGUGUAGCGGUGAAAUGCGUAGAUAUCAGGAGGAACACCGGUGGCGAAGGCGACUUCCUGGACCAAGACUGACGCUGAGGCGCGAAGGUGUGGGUAGCAAACA
rnacentral:rRNA from 1 species